rnacentral:rRNA from 1 species
CCCCUACGGGAGGCAGCAGUGGGGAAUUUUGGACAAUGGGGGCAAACCCUGAUCCAGCCAUGCCGCGUGUCUGAAGAAGGCCUUCGGGUUGUAAAGGACUUUUGUUAGGGAAGAAAAGGGAAGUGCUAAUACCACUUUUUGCUGACGGUACCUAAAGAAUAAGCACCGGCUAACUACGUGCCAGCAGCCGCGGUAAUGGGG